rnacentral:rRNA from 1 species
UACAGAGGGUGCAAGCGUUGUUCGGAAUUAUUGGGCGUAAAGGGCGCGUAGGCGGUGCGGUAAGUCCGCAGUGAAAUCUCUGGGCUCAACUCAGAGUCUGCUGUGGAAACUGCCGUGCUUGAGUGUGGGAGAGGUGAGUGGAAUUCCCAGUGUAGCGGUGAAAUGCGCAGAUAUCGGGAAGAACACCCGUGGCGAAGGCGGCUCUCUGGGACGGUACUGACGCUGAGACGCGAAAGCGUGGGGAGCGAACAGG